GAUGAAGAACGUAGCGAAAUGCGAUACGUAAUGUGAAUUGCAGAAUUCAGUGAAUCAUCGAAUCUUUGAACGCACAUUGCGCCCGCUAGUAUUCUGGCGGGCAUGCCUGUCCGAGCGUCAUUUCAACCCAUCAAGCUUAGCGCUUGUGUUGGAGCCCUGCGGCCGCCGCAGCCUCCUAAAAUCAGUGGCGGGCUCGCUAUCACGCUGAGUGCAGUAGUAUUCUUCUCACUCCUGUGGUGUAGCGGGUAACCAGCCGUAAACCCCCCCAUCUAUAAAGGUUGACCUCGGAUCAGGUAGGAAUACCCGCUGAACUUAAGCAUAUCAUAAGCGGAGGA
rnacentral:misc_RNA from 1 species